AUUGAACGCUGGCGGCAUGCCUUACACAUGCAAGUCGAACGGCAGCACGGGUGCUUGCACCUGGUGGCGAGUGGCGAACGGGUGAGUAAUACAUCGGAACAUGUCCUGUAGUGGGGGAUAGCCCGGCGAAAGCCGGAUUAAUACCGCAUACGAUCUACGGAUGAAAGCGGGGGACCUUCGGGCCUCGCGCUAUAGGGUUGGCCGAUGGCUGAUUAGCUAGUUGGUGGGGUAAAGGCCUACCAAGGCGACGAUCAGUAGGUGGUCUGAGAGGACGACCAGCCACACUGGGACUGAGACACGGCCCAGACUCCUACGGGAGGCAGCAGUGGGGAAUUUUGGACAAUGGGCGAAAGCCUGAUCCAGCAAUGCCGCGUGUGUGAAGAAGGCCUUCGGGUUGUAAAGCACUUUUGUCCGGAAAGAAAUCCUUGGCCCUAAUACGGUCGGGGGAUGACGGUACCGGAAGAAUAAGCACCGGCUAACUACGUG
rnacentral:rRNA from 1 species